rnacentral:rRNA from 1 species
UACGUAGGGAGCAAGCGUUGUCCGGAAUCAUUGGGCGUAAAGCGCGCGUAGGUGGCUUCGUAAGUCCGUUGUGAAAGCCAAAGGCUCAACCUUUGAAAGCCGAUGGAUACUGUGAAGCUAGAGUCCGGAAGAGGCGAGUGGAAUUCCUGGUGUAGCGGUGGAAUGCGCAGAUAUCAGGAGGAACACCAAUAGCGAAGGCAGCUCGCUGGGACGGUACUGACACUAAGGCGCGAAAGCGUGGGGAGCGAACAGGAUUAGAUACCCUGGUAGUCCACGCCGUAAACGAUGGGCAUUAGGUGUGGGAGGUGUCGACUCCUCCCGUGCCGUCGCUAACGCACUAAAUGCCCCGCCUGGGGAGUACGGCCGCAAGGCUAAA